GUUAUUUUUAUCAGUCAGCACAUAUACUAAAAUUGGAACGAUACAGAGAAGAUUAGCAUGGCCCCUGCGCAGUCUGACCAAGUAGAAAAGUCUCUGGUUUUG